GCCAAAUUUGUGGAAAUUUACAUAGCAAAUUGACCCUCCACAUUUCACUUAAACAUAUGUAGCACUCCGAGUAGUGCGUUUUGAGUUGCCAGUGAGACUGAGGUUAUUUUACACGCUUCUUUUAGUAAAAGAGGUCCAAUUAGACCAAGUAAUUUUUUAUUUCAUCCAUAAUUGCAAAACAAAUAAGCUUCUUGGCAUUUUUUUUCCUAGCGGCAGCAUCACACGGACAGGGGCGUUAAUAGGGAAGUCAUGUUUUCCUAAUUAAGCCCCGUUUGAUUCCUGCUCAGUGUUCCGGCGUCAGCCCUCUGCAGCUUUCUCCUAGCACUGAGGAUGUUGCUGAAUUAUAGAGGAGGAGACUGGCAUGGACAGUAGGGAAGAGUUAUGCAGAUGGGAUCCAAAGGGGCUGCUGCACUUUCAGCAAGGACUCAGCAGACGAUACAUAAUUAGGAGUUCUGCUGUGGGGGGAAUAAAGCACACCAUUAGAUUUGUUUAG
rnacentral:lncRNA from 1 species